AAUCAUGAACAUUUCACGGUGACUUGACAGUCUUUCCCAGGAAGCCAAAAGGCUCUGUUCCUCAUUUCUCUUCUGCUUCUCCCCUUUGUCUUCCUUCCUUCGUCCACCCAGGAGGAUGACUCAGCAGCAGCCUAGUUCACAGUUCUUAACUAACCAGCUCUGUGACUCUCCCUCCCUGCCCAAGUCGACCACACCUGCCUGAAUAAGUCCCUAUGUGUCCUCCUAGACCCCCCGGAGGGCCUGUCUGAGGAGCUUCCUCAUGACACGGCAGAGGAAGAGGCCCCAUCUAAUCCUAAGCUCCCCCGAGGGCCUAGCAGAGGAGCACCCAGGGGACGAGCUGAGUAAAAGACCCCAUCGAAUGCCAAGGUGGUCUCGGGAGUAAGUGACAACAGUACGUACUCUGGAGUCCCUCCCUUGUUGGGGAAAGAUCUAGGUGCUAAGAGAAGCGAGUCUCCCCUGCUGGCUUUCCUCUGAAGUGCCACCGCCACCACCGAUUCUGGGUUCCUGCUGGGAGCCCAGGCUGGGUAGGUGGGAAAGGAGGCUGACUCUCCAGGGAAAGAGCUGUGGCCAUUUCUCCACAAGCACUUUUGUUCCCUUUGGGAGGUGAGGGUUUGCGUGCAGUGUGGCGGGCUGUUCUCUGGGGGAAUCAGGUAGUGUGAUUGUGUGAGUACGUGUGUGUAUGUGUCUCCCUAGAUCCAGGUCCCCUCCAACAACACAGUUGCCAGCAUCAGCUUCUAAGUGACAAUUCCCAUCAUCGUUGUUUCAUGCAAUUAUCUGUGUUUCAAACUUGAUUAAAUUGUACACCAAGUACACCCCAAUAAACUUGCGGGGAAUCCCAUCACCAGCUAGGAGAAGGUUCACAGGGUUCUAAGUGGACAAAACUGUGUUCCAGAAUCACCGUUAUGGGGUCAGGAACAACUUCAGAUCUCACCUGUGAGCAGGUUGUUUCAUUCCCUGCAGGGCAGGGGGAUCAAGCAUAACUAAGGAGCAUAAUGAGGAGCAUUCCUCAUUAGGAAAGGAGCCCUAAUGUAUCUAAUAGGCUUCUGAGAAGAGAGAGGCUGGAGAGGGUGCUGAAUUGCAGGGGGUUGCACAACCCGCGGAUGGGGAGCUGACACUGAGACAAGGCCCUUCAGUCCCAGACCCCAUGCACUGUCUCUCAUGCCUCUCCCGCCCCGGAAAGACUUCUGAGCAGGGUUGAGGCUGGUCCACCGUCAUGGCUGGUGUGGGCACUGUAUGGACGUCUUCCUAAAAGCCUGGAGAGAGGGGCUUCCUUCCUGUUCCAUCCUCUUCUCCAUCUAUCUGUAUGACAAACCAGGCACUUUCCUUGGUGGAAAUUGUAGAGAGGCAGAGAAUGGAGUCAGGUCUCCUGCUCUCCCACCCAGAACAUGUCAGUGGGCUAGAGCCAGGGCCAGGCCAGACACAAGGAGAGUUCCAGCCUGAUCCACUGGGGCCAGAAGGGACCAGUUUUUAUUUUUCUUCUGCUUCUGGGAGUCACCUGACAACCAGCCCUUGCCUACAUGCUGUUGGCCCAGGGUUGUCUGGAUUGCAGACACAUUUAGACUGAAGGGAUCUCACGCCAUGUGGCCAGGGCAGCUGUAGGACAUUCUAGUUGCCCAGGAGGUAAGAGGGGUGCAGACUCCAGUGCUUGGUGGGCUCAGCAGAGUGAUGGGGGAUGAUCUCAGAGUAAAGGUGCUCCUUGCUGUUCUUUUAUGGCCAGAGGACAUCAAUUGGAGAGUAUCUUUGAAAUGGUCUUAGAAUUCUCAGACCCAAACUCUCAUCUGUGUCUUUCUAUUCAAGAGCCCUGAUCCCGGGUGGUCACUGCUCAUCCUCCAGAGCUCAGCUCUGAGCAGCCCCUGUACUAAAAUCCCUGAGCCGGAAUCCGGUUCUAGGUUGGAAAGGUCCCUGCUCAGCUUGUAUGGGGUGUGGGGCCCCACACUAAACCGGGUACCUGCCCGGACUCUAAUCUGGAUCAGGAAGGAAAGGGUGAGCUUCAAAGAGAGUGAAGUGUCCCCUCUCUGUCUACUGAUCUGACUACAACCAGCACAUGUGUGUGGGGUCAUGGUCCUCUCCCCUGCUUACAAGGGGCCCCUGCUGGGAUUCCUCUAGGACCUGGGUGUGGACCUUCCUGUGUGAGUGUCCCCAGGGCCUCAUGUAGCGCUUGUCAUGUGGGCAGAAGCCAGGGACAACCUACAAAUGAAUGGUCAGAUCAGAUCAGCAAACACCUCUGGGGAACCCCCAGGGCAGGAAGGUCACAUCUUCCUCACCUUUGGAUCCCAGAGCUGGGCUAUCCAGGGGGGGUAGCCACUCGCCAGACGUUUCUGCUUACGUUUAAGUUAGUUAAAGUCAAUGAAGUUACACAUUCCAUCCCCCGUCAUACCAGCCACAUGUCAGGUGCCCAGUAGAGCAUGUUUACAGCCCAGACCAUUUCCGUGACCACAGACGGCUCUCCUGGGCAGCUGCUCGGAGCCUGCACAGGGGCUGCACCUGGACCCCACCUAACCCAGUGUGUGUCCAUCAGAGCUGGGAUCUCAGGUGGAUCCGUGUGCAGGUGAGAGCUGUCAUGAUCCUGUGGAGAUGGGGAAGUGCCAGGUGAAGGGGGAGCCUUUCUGUCACCGAAGGUUUGCAACUGUGGUCACUGCCCUGUUGAAGGGCUCUAGUUCCCAGAGCCCAGGAAGGAUGAGGACCCAGAGGAAGAGCAGGUGAUGCUGGGUGAGCGAGCCUGGCCUCAGCUGGAGUAGCAGCAACAGGGGAGCCCCUCUCUCUAAUAACCUGCUGCUCAUGCUUGUCUCUAAAGAUUGUCUUGUCGACAGAAAGUACGAUUCGAGCAGCGAGGACGAAGACGCCGCAGGUAGGGAACAGCUCUCAGGUGCGUCCCAUGGGAGAGGGUCCCGGGAGCAGUCAGAUUACACCUGCAGCUUGCAGACCCAGGAAGGGGCUAUGAAAUAAAGCAGAGAGAAAAAGGAAAUGUGUGUUCUAUUUAUAUUUUAAUGAUGUAAGAAUAAGAGCUGUCAUAUCUAUUGGCUUCAGGUGUACUGUUUGUAAUCAUCUUUUUCUUGCUUUGCUAUUUAAGAUUAUCUUUCCCCGGACCCACUCUCUUCUGCUCUGCCUCUGCCAAGCAGCAAAACCUUGCUUAUGUUUAGAUCACGUGCCUUGGGAACUGAGCAGGGGAGUACUGGGUCGGGUUUGGGGUGACCCAUGACAGCGGCGGUCUGGUGGGACGCACUGUGUCCCAUACACCUGAAUGGCAGACAGAGUGCUUCCGUGUGAGCCAGGGGCUGAGGAUCUGGGACCCUCUCCCUCUGCAGCUUCGGGUCAUGGAGCAGCACCAGCAGGGCCGCCCUCAGGUCUGCCUCUGGGUGAUGGGUGCACCCGGGGCAGGCAGCACAGAGAAUUUUCCCUCUCAGCCUCCUGCCCCUGCUCCUGGGUCCUGCUGCAGAAAUGAGGUGGGAGACAUGCCCUGGAGCACAUUUCUCUCCUCCUCUCAUCAUCCACAUCCCCAGUCCUGGGACCAGAAUAAAACCUGCACUUGUCUCCACGUGAGAGAGGCCUGUGUGCAGCCACCCUGAGGCCCUCCCUGGCCGAUGAGAAUUCUAGAGGCCUCUGUGAAGGCUGCUGAGCUGGCCACACACACUCCCUCUCAUGGUCCCACUGAGCUGGUCUCCUGGGACUGACCGAAUCCAGGGGAGAGGCUCUGGCAGGGGGGCCAGGGUCUCUGCUCUAGUCUGAUCCUGCUGCUCCAGCCACACAGUGAUGGGCCUGCUCCCCACAUCACGGUCAUGGCCCCACCCUAGGACCCUCCCUCAGCCUCCCCAGGACCUCCCCCACCCAGUCCUCCCAGGUCUCAGGACAAAGGCUGCCAGGUACUGGUAGCUGUGGAUUUCCCUCACUUCACCUAUAGACUAAGGGAUUUGGUCAAGUUCCAUUACUUCUAAUGUCAUGUUCCCCUCUCUAAAUGGCCAGAGGUGCCAUGGGGAUGAUGGGGUUGGGUGAAGCUCAGUGUCUCCCGAGAUCCUGAGGUCAGAGCAGGCACAGGCUGGUGACAGGGUGGGCAGAGCUGGUUUCCCUCUGCAAGAAGCCCAGCACAGCCAUGAAGGUACCCCUGGAUUUGGCAGGUUUCGUUAAUUGAUUGACUGAUUGAUCAGGGAGGGUGGUAACAUACCCACGACCACUCCUCUCUGCUCUUCUGAUACUGGACAGAAACACCAAGGUGUAGGCCAAAUCAGAGAAGAGAAAUGGGCAGGAAUGAGGAGACAGGAAAGUGUUGGGGGCGGGCGGUGGAGAGGGAGGACAGGCAAUGUCUCCAACACAAAGUCACAGGGACUAUGACCGUCUCUUAGAGGGACAGGAUGGACCAGGGGCUGCUUCUGGCCUCAGUUAUGAAAUCUGAGGGCUGGGAAGGGCCCAGAGACACGGUUCCCCUCCUCAUCCCAUUGGAUCUCAGUCCUGGGGGGGUACUGCAGUGCUGAGGACAGAAUGUGGUCUGGGGUCAGGGCCGUAACCCCAGGAACAGUGACCCAAGUCCUCCCUAGCCUCUGACUCGAUCCUCUCUUUCCCAAGGCCACCUCAUCACUGUCACUGCCCUGGUGCAUGCUGAAGCCUGUCUUAAAGAUCCUGAGGAUUAGGACGCAGACCCCAGCCAUCUGCAUGUAAUUUACUUCCUAUUUCUGGCUUUUUUUCUUCUAUUUGUUUCCUACCCAUAAGCUCCCUCUGUGGCUCUUCCCUGUUCCCUCUGUGAAUGAUUGUCAUCCUGAAGGACCCGAUCCCAUUCGGGCACAGGAGGUCCUUUCAUCUCCGGUGUCUAUAAAAUCUCCCACCACUUGGCCUCAUGGUUGCUGGGUUUGUUAGGGGGUAGGAGCUGGAUUUUGACUCUUGGAAUGUUAAAGGCCUCCCACAUCCCUGGGCAGGGAAAAGAAGAAGAGAAACCAAUGGAGGUGGUACUGGGGCCUUAGAGGGGCUGAUAAUAGUGAGAAAAACUCUUCUUCUUGAAGUAAUUCCUCACGUAUUCCUCCUCAGUUUUAGUAAAACCGAAACUGCGAGAUUGCUCGAGGUCACCCAUUACUAUGGGUACCACAGAACCUGCAAGUAUUCCUGGGACUGUGCUAUUGGGUAGAAUGCUAUUUUGCCAUCUGUGGAAGUAUUUGCUUGAAUAUCCGACAAACUGGUAGGGUUAAGAAUCACUUCCUCUUAAUAAA